UUUUUUUUCUUUUGUCGUGAAUGCCUUGAACACAUUGACAUUGAGUUUUCUUUUUCUUAUUCUUUCCGUGACCCAGUUUCGCUAGUGUCGAUGCUCACUUACAUGCCGGGCUGCCGGCCAUGUCUUGGUCGGAAAACGCCAUGGACAUUUUGCGCGAGCACACAACGCAAACUGAUUUUGAUAUGGAAAUUAUCCAUGUCCGCUAAACAUUUGUUCUACUACGUGUCUGCAUGCACAUACGAAAAGCAAGAACAACACGUCAAUGUGGCAAAUCCCAACUGCACAGAGGAAUUCUGGGUUUGCGAGUAAGUCGUGCUCGUUUCAUUUUUUUUACGUUGCCUUUAUUUAUUUAUUUAUUUGCAAGAAUGAUCGAAUCUAUUAUAACUUUAUAAGAGUUCACCGGAAGUAUAAAACAUUUCAAACAUAAUAAAGAUUACAAGAUUCCGAGACCAACAGAACGAUCAUUAUUAUCGUCGUAACGAGCCACCGACAUGUCGUUGUCGUUGCUCCCUUAAUGAAGCCGGUUUGAUCUUGUCGAUGAUAGCCAAAAAGUCUUCAUUGAACCCUUGCAUAAAUCUGAAGCACUUGACACAAAAUCUUGUCACAAGACGAGAAACCUUAUUAUACAGUUGCUGGCCAAAGAGAUGGCAGGAAUAUAUCAUUAUGCAUGCUGCCUUUAUCUUUACUCGUCAAUAUAAUUAUACACAUGUUGUAAAUAAAUGAGAAAAAAGAAAAAAACAUAAUUGGUUUAGCAGUAUGGAGUGAGACAGUGACAAAUUAUCCACAGCAAAAAAGGCAAAUGGAGGACGGGCUACAUGGCGGACUUUAAAAAACAUAUUUCCACAUCAGAAGUAAAAUAGAAAUUUUUGUACAUACACAAAUGCAUAUAUAACACGUUCAGGGAAAAUUUCAUAACAAUAUAUUUUUAUACGUAUCGUAUACAGAAAACAAAUACAUAAAGGAAAAUGGGCCCUUUUUUUUGGUUGUUGUUGGGCCAGGUUUUUUUUGUGUGCAACUCUCAAACAACAAUAUUUUUGAACGAAAUUUUACAGAUCCGUCGCGAAUAUGUAUAAGUUUUAACAGAUUUUUUUUACAUUUUUUUAACUUGAAAAAUAUCAUUUUUUGAAUCAUUUGGAAUAAAGUCCACCAAUGUAGCCGUCCACCAAAACUUCGCACUUACAAAUUCAGCCCUUUGCCAUGAUGGCAAAUGCAAGGCUCUCAGCAGGACAAAGUGAUACAUGCUCAUUGCUUAACGUUCACAAGUCGUCAGUGCUGGAUCCAGGAUUGGAGCAAGCCCCGGGCCUAAAUUUUUUUUCGUCGCGAGAGUAAAACUUAAGAUCCAUCAAGCUAUAGCUAUCUCAAAGAAUACCUCAAAUAUGGCUCAAUUGCACCAAAAAUAUCUCUGGGCGUAGACAUUUCCGUAACGGCCACGGAUGAAAAGUAUCUCUUCAUCUUUUAUUUCUACAAAAUGAAAUAAAGUUAAUAUUAACAGCAGCAAUAGAACCAUUCACAUUUGAAUAUAAUUCAAGUGAAACUGAAUGCUUGACAACAGCAACAACGAUAAGUAGUAGUGCAGUAGCAAAUCCACACAUUAUAGUAAGCAGAUCUAAAAAUGUUCAAUCUACAAAAUUUUAAGAACAGCAGCAAGGCAGUAGGACAAUGCACAUCCACAUAUUACCAAACUAGUCUGCAGAUACACGGUAGUGCAGCCAGUCCGGGUCUGGCCAAUCCUGAGGCCGGCAGUCCCUGCAAUGCGUGGCGGACAGGCGGAGACCAGGGCAGGGGAGGCCGGAGCCUGGAGCAGAGGUGGCAUGCAGAGAGAGCCGGCGAGCAUGCGAGCGGCGGAGGGACCUGGGACGGCUGGGGAGCGCCGUAGCGGAGGGUAAUCACCGGCGGGCGGCGGAAACUCAGACAAUAUGGCGCUGCACGUGGAAUCGAACUCGCGAUCAAUACCUCCAGUAAGUGGUUGGCUGACCACUUGAGCUACUACGAAUAUAUGAAACAUUGCAGCGCGACGAUACAUAAGAACAGUAGCCGCGUAGAUAUUUAAAUUAUAUGAAAACAUUUUAGGAAAGCUUGAUUUCUUUUGACAAAAAUAUGUUUUUUUUCUCAGAAGUCCACAGAUUUUAGAAAGAAUCACUAAUUAGAAAAUAUUCAUCAAUUUUUGUCAGAGUAAUGGACCACGGGUAGGCUCACCCGACGCCCAGAACCUUUCAAGACAUCGGGGCCGCCUUCGCCCCUCGAGAACCCAAAGACGGAGACGCCGCCUCUGGAAGUCGGCAGCAGUGCUGCCGACAACCCACUCCAAGCCGAGUCCCAGGGGCGACGUUCAGAUGGGCCGACUCCAAGCUAGCGACUUUCAGAGAAGCCGGCUUUGGGAGUCGGCCCGCGACUCCAACCACCUCAUGCUUUCACAAGAAGGAAUGGGACGGGGCGUGGCACCUGCAAGGUCUACGCCCGCCCCUGACCAAGAGAAGGCAUGGCUACAGUACGCCGUACCCACGGAGAUCUCCGUUCGGCGCGGCACUGUUGCCAUGCUAGCCCUGACAUCAGCCCCAGGGGGCGGAACCCUGUGCCCACGUCGGCCUGCCUGUACGACCUGAAGACAGCAGGCCCCACCCGUCAGCGGGGGCACCAAAGACGGCGAGAGCGCCAGAAGACGGGCUCCAUGGGAGUCGGCCUCCCAGAGUCGGCCGGCCCCUCCCACGGGCCCCACACGCCAUUAACCAGAUGAGACGGGGAGUGGCGACAGUGAUCGCCCGCCGGGCGGCGGCACUGUUGCCAUGACCCCAUGACCAAGCCAGCGUCAUUAGAAGCAUGGAUACAGUAAUCCGCAGCCGGCAAGACCCGCCCGCGGCGGACACAGCCUGUCGGCUCCGUACCGGACCAGUCAGCGGGGCCCACAGUCGGCGGGCCCCAGAAGUCGGCGGAGAAGACGGCGGCCUGAGAGGCAGACGGCUGGGACCCACGCCCAGUCAGAUUACCAUUGUACCUCCGGGGGUAGGCCUAUAUAAACCCCCUGGGGCACCCAUGCAAAGGGUUGGACCCCAUUAGCACUAGACCACAGAACACAAGCAGGAGAGAACUAGCCUUGCUCUCUCCUCCCUCAGGACACAGCUCAACGAGCAACCUUGUAUCUACUUUGCCAUAGUGAUCAUGCGGAGACCCCGCAGAGCAGCAGUAGGGGUGUUAUCUCCUCGAAGAGCCCUGAAGCUGGGUAAGAUUCGCCGGCGUGCAUGCCUACGCCUCAUCCCGUUUCCAGGCACCGACGACGUUCUACUCGCCCCCACCAUGAUAAGCCAUCCUUUGGCAUAUGUCGCACCCAACCCCCGACAUUUGGCACCCACCAUGGGGCAUGGUGCACCGUCGUCCGAAGACCUGCUCUGGACGGGAACCCUCUUCCUCCCUGGCGAGCGCAGCCAGCCCGGCACGCCAGACGGAGUUUGCGUUGAUGCGUUGCGCGGCGUACAGAUCGCCUGCGCAGCCAGCGGCCUUGCCGAACUGGUCGGCGAGGUUCGCCUCUCCGACGAGCCUGCAUCUGACGCAGGCACGGGCAGCCCCGAUAGCCUCCUCGCGGGCCUCCUCGACCAACUCCACGUCACCGGCGAGCCUGCCGUGGACCUAGAGUCCGUAGGCUCCACCGACCCGAUGCUGGUCGACUCCGACACCGCGUCGCUUGAUGCGUUCCCUACCAAUGUGGUAGUCUACGACGAGCCGCUCCCUCGCGCGGAGAGCGGUGGGAGCACCGUCACAGAGGUGCUCGUCAUCGGUCACGGCGAGCACUCCGACGGCGGAGCUCACGACCCGCUCGACGCGGCUCUGCAAGACCUGGAUGCACCCAUUCCAGAAGACGCUGACGCCGAGACACUGGAGGCACGCCGCCUCCAGCUCGUCGAAGGCGCGAAGAAGUUGGCAAGCACGAGGCGCUUGUUAGAGGCCUACCAGCGAGAGAUGGAUCGCGCUGUGGGCGGCUCGCCCGCUCCGACUGGGCCCAGCCGCCUAGGCGCGGAGCGCGGCAUGGCCAUCGCCAGCCUGUUCGGGGCAGAUCGCCCCGUAUACGCCACGCCUGCGGAGAACAUCAGAGCCGCCCAGGCGGCGGCCGACGAGCUGGACAACUUCGAAGGCGAAGAGCGCCGCCUGAUGACGGAGUGAGUCCAGCAGCUCCUCGACGCGGUUGCCGCACAAAACGCGGUCGGCUGCCAUACAGAGGCGCCGCAGCGGCAAGACGACGACCCGCCUCCCCGCCGAGACCAAGGCGCGACGUCUCGGACGCCGACUGGCAGCGUCCGCGGAAGAAAGGACAAGGAUCCGGCUGUCACCCACAGUCAGACUCGCAUCACCAUCGAGCGCGACCAAGACGGCCGCCCGAGAGCAGUGCAACGACGGGGCGACUGUCCGCCUCCACCUCCUCGCAAGGAGAGGCGAGUCUCCCCGCCGCCUGUUAACCAUCCGACUCUCGGCGACCGCCUUGGCCGCCGAGAGGGAGUCGGAGAGAACGACGCCCGCCACCGGAUCGACCGACUCCACCGAUCCCUGGCAUUAGAAGAAGAAGACGAGUUGGGCCCGCCGUAUUUCGGGCCCUGCAUCCGAGAUGAGCCCUUUCCAAAGGGUUCACGCUCCCCCGAGAUACACCCAAGUACACCGGCUCUGUGAAGCCGGAAGAUUGGUUGGUUGACUACGCCACGGCCGUUGACAUAGCAAGCGGCAACAAGCGUGUUGCCGUGAAGUAUGCUCCGCUCAUGCUCCAGGGCACGGCCCGGACAUGGCUGAAUAGCCUGAAGCCCCACAGUAUCAACAGCUGGGUCGACUUCACCGAAGCCUUCGUCCGCAAUUUUACGAGCACGUACAAGCGACCUCCCAAGCCGCGCAAGCUCUCCUUGUGCGUGCAGGGUCCCAACGAGUCAACUCGCGAUGGGCCGAACUGCGGAACUCUUGCGAGGGCGUGCACGAGGUGCAGGCCAUCGAGUACUUCACCGCCGGGUGCAGAGAAGGCACCCUCCUCAAGCACAAGCUCCUCUGCGACAAGCCCGAGACCCUCGACGAGCUGCUGAUCAUAGCAGACAAGUACGCCACAGCCGACUCCUCCAUGAAGGCGGAAAUUCAAGUUAGUGCGACUGGCAAAGUGGCCCCUCAAGCUCCCAAGACUCCGGCUGGAGACGCCAGUCGGCGACAGCAACAGAAUGACCACAAGCGCAAGGCCCCGCAGCCGGCUUCCAGUAGUCGGCAAGUUGCGACUGUCGAAGAUCAACAGCCAGAAGGGCACCCACCGGCCAAGCGAGGGAAAGGCGGCAAGUCCAACUGGUUGCCGGCUUUCUCUUACGAGCAGACUCUGGAUGGUCCCUGCAAGUUCCACAGCGGCGCGAAGCCCUCAAACCACACCACCCGGAAGUGCCACUGGCUCACCAGGAUCGCCAAGGGAGAUGGCCUCCUGCCUCCCCCGCCUGCUGGGCAGCCGCCUCCACCUCCACCCCAGCAGCCGGCGGCCAGGCCAGUCGGCGCAAUACAAGACGAGUACCCAGAAGAGCAUGGGGCCCAUGUGGUGUUCACCAGUGUGGCUGACGACAAGCGCAGCAGGCGGCUGCAGCAGCAAGAGGUGAACGCAGUGGCAUCAGACGCCCCAGAGUUCAUGCACUGGUCCGAGAAGCCUAUCAGUUGGAGCAGAGCUGAUCACCCGGAGGUGAUGCCGAAUCCGGGCUCCUACGCCCUGGUUUUGGAUGCCACCUUCGCCACAGAUAGGUGGGCCGCUCGCUUCUCGCAAGUGUUGAUAGACGGAGGCAGCAGCAUCAACAUCUUGUACACGGAUACUAUGGAGAAGUUAGGAAUCAAGCAAAGACAGCUUCAGAGCAGUCGGACUGUGUUCCAUGGAAUCGUCCCUGGCCUUUCCUACUCGCCAAUCGGCAAGAUUCUGAUAGAUGUUCUCUUCGGAGACAAGGAUCAUUUCCGCUGAGAACCAGUCUGGUUUGAAGUGGUGGACCUUCAGAGCCCGUACCAUGCGUUGCUAGGCCGACCUGCCUUGGCCAAGUUCAUGGCGGUUCCCCACUACGCCUACCUCAAGAUGAAGAUGCCGAGUUCCAAGGGGAUUCUAACCAUAGCCGGCGACUACAGAAAGUCGUCCGCUUGCGCGGCUGAGAGCAGUCGCCUGGCCGAGUCCUUGGUGAUAGCAGCUGAGAAGCGGCUCCUUGAUCGGGCGGUGGCGAUGGCCGGCAAGCAGCCGGAGAUGACGCCCAACCCCAAGGAGUCGGAAGCUGAGGGCUCGUUCAAGCCGGCCAAAGAGACGAAGAAGAUACCCUUGGACCCGGAGGACCCGAAGAGGUACGUUGUCAUAGGUGCAAACCUUGACAGCAAAUAGGAAGGCGAGCUCGUCGAUUUCCUCCGUGAGAAUCGGGACAUCUUCGCAUGGUCCCCCAAAGACAUGCUAGGUGUACCAACAGAAUUUGCCGAGAACAAGUUACAUGUCUGAUCAGAUGUGAAGCCCGUCAGGCAGCCCUUGCGCCGCCUGUCAGAAGAGAAGAGAAGAGUUGUUGGAGAAGAGAUAGCCCGGCUCCUUGCAGCCGGCUUCAUCAUGAAAGUAUUUUUUUCCAGAGUGGCUGGCGAACCCAGUCCUGGUGCUGAAGAAGAACAAGCAGUGGUGGAUGUGUAUCGACUACACAAGCCUCAACAAAGCAUGCCCAAAGGACCCAUUUGCUCUGCCGAUAAUUGAUCAGGUGAUAGACUCCACAGCCGGAUGCGAGCUGUUGAGCUUCUUAGAUGCAUAUUCAGGAUAUCACCAGAUCAAACUGGACCCGGCAGACAGACUGAAGACCGCCUUCAUCACACCGUUUGGAGCCUUCUGCUACCUGACCAUGACGUUCGGCUUGAGAAAUGCCGGCGCCACCUUUCAGCGUUGCAUGCAGAAGUGCCUCCUCAAGCAACUCGGCCGAAACGCCCAUGUUUACGUGGAUGAUGUGGUGGUGAAGACGGAGAAGCGAGGAACACUGCUGGAAGACCUCAAGGAGACCAUUGAGAACCUGCGCCGAUUCCAGAUCAAGCUCAACCCUGAAAAGUGCGUGUUCGGAGUACCAGCCGGUCAGCUUCUCGGCUUCCUGGUCUCCGAACGCGGCAUAGAAUGCAACCCUGUGAAGAUCAAGGCCAUCGAGAGGAUGGAGGUACCCAGCCGACUGCUCGACGUACAAAAAUUCACCGGCUGCGUGGCGUCCAUCAGCCGGUUCAUCAGUCGGCUGGGCGAGAAAGCUCUCCCCUUGUACCAGCUCAUGAAGAAGACCACUUUUUUCAAGUGGAACCAUAAGGCGGACGAGGCCUUUCUCCAACUGAAGAAGAUGCUGGUUACUCCCCCUGUGCUAGCGGCUCCGACUCUCAAAGAGCCCAUGCUCCUGUACAUCGCCGCCACCAGCCGGGUAGUCAGCACAGUCAUCGUAGUCGAGCGCAAGGAGGAAGGCAAGGCACUACCUAUCCAGAGACCGGUAUAUUACCUAAGUGAAGUACUGUUGACCUCCAAGCAGAACUACCCCCACUACCAGAAGAUGUGCUAUGACGUACACUUUGCCGCCAAGAAGCUGAAGCCUUACUUUCAAGAGCAUCCAAUCACUGUGGUUUGCACGGCUCCACUAGCCGAGAUCAUCGGAAGCCGAGAUGCGUCUGGCCGAGUAGCCAAAUGGGCCAUAGAGUUGCCCCCCUACACGAUCUACUACCAGCCCCGCACCGUCAUCAAGUCGCAAGCACUGGCCGACUUCCUCGUUGACUGGGCCGAGACCCAGUACCUGCUGCCAGCGCCCGACUCCACCCAUUGGCGGAUGCAUUUCGACGGCUCCAAGAUGCGCACCGGCUUGGGAGCCGGCAUUGUCCUCACUUCUCCCAAAGGCGACAAGCUCAAGUACGCGCUGCAAAUCCAUUUCGCCGCCUCCAACAACGUCGCCGAGUACGAGGCGCUCAUUCACGGGCUCCGGCUUGCCAAAGAGCUUGGCAUUCGCCGGAUCCUGUGUUAUGGCGACUCCGACUUGGUGGUCCAGCAGUCAUCUGGCAACUGGGACGCCAAGGAUGCAAACAUGGCGAGCUACCGUUUCCUUGUACAGCAACUCAGUGGAUAUUUUGAGGGAUGCGAGUUCCUCCACGUGCCAAGAAACGACAAUGACCAGGUAGAUGCCUUGGCACGAAUCGGCUCCAUGCGUCAAGCAAUUCCAUCCGGCGUCGCCCUCCAGCGCCUCCUCAAGCCGUCUAUCAAGCCUUCACCGGAGUCAGACUCCAUCUUUGUGCUGGCUCCCCCCGAAGAAGUCGGAUCCGACUCAAGAGCCCCAGCAGACGGCACAAGAACCCCCUCAGACGGCUCCAAGAACGCCGCAGUCGAAGCCGGCCCGGGGACUUCGGUACUCGGCCCGGGGACUGCGGCGACCAGAUCAAAGACUCCAGAACUCGGCCCGGGGACUGCACCAGUCGGCCCGGGGACUUCAUCAAUCCAGCAAACGGCCGCGGACUCCAGCCCGCCGCCUCCCAGCCCAGCCGCCCUAGUCCAAGUCACAGUUCUGGCGGUCGAAGAAAUAGCAACACCCUCAUGGGAGCAGCCCAUCCUCAAGUUCUUAGUGAACAAAGAGCUGCCAACCGAUGAAACCUUGGCUCGGCAAGUGCAACGCCGAGCGGCAGCCUACACCAUAGUCAACAGAGAGCUGGUCAGGCGCAGCGUCACUGGUGUCUACCAGCGUUGCGUCGAGCCAGAGCAAGGCCAGGCUAUUCUCAGAGACAUCCAUCAAGGCGAGUGCGGCCACCAUGCAGCCUCAAGAGCACUCGUCGCCAAAGCCUUUCGGCAUGGUUUCUUUUGGCCGACUGCCCUAGAAGAGGCCAAGGAGUUGGUCCAGAAGUGCAAGGGGUGCCAGAAGUUCCGCUCCAAGCCGCACCAGCCGGCUUCAGCGCUCAAGACUAUCCCCAUCGCCUGGCCCUUUGCAGUCUGGGGCCUGGAUAUGAUGGGACCCUUCAAGACGGCGCGAGGAGGCCUGACUCACCUACUUGUCGCGGUGGACAAGUUCACCAAGUGGAUAGAAGUAAAACCCAUCAAGAAAUUAAAUGGUCCGACUGUCGUGACUUUCAUCGCCGACAUCACAGUUCGGUACGGCAUACCACACAGCAGCAUCACCGACAACGGCACCAACUUUGCCAAAGGCGCCUUGGCCCAUUUCUGUGUGACACAGGGCAUCCGACUGGACUUAGCGUCCGUUGCCCAUCCGUAGUCAAACGGCCAGGUAGAGCGGGUGAAUGGCCUCAUCCUGUCCGGCAUUAAGCCUCGAUUGGUCGAACCACUGGAGCGUUCGGCCGGCUGUUGGCUUGACGAGUUGCCGGCUGUCCUCUGGAGUCUGCGGACGACUCCAAACAAGUCGAUCGGCUUCACGCCCUUCUUCCUCGUCUAUGGUGCCGAAGCCGUCAUCCCCACGGACAUAGAGUUCGACUCCCCGCGAGUCACCAUGUACAUCGAGGAGGAAGCAGAAGAAGCACGUCAAGACGGCGUCGAUCUGCUGGAAGAGGGCCGGCUGUUGGCACUCAGCCGGUCCAGCAUCUACCAGCAGAGCCUUCGCCGAUACUACAACAGGAAGGUCAGGCCAAGAUCUUUCCAAGAGGGCGACCUUGUGCUCCGCCUGAUCCAGCGGACAGCCGACCAGCACAAGUUGUCGGCGCCUUGGGAAGGCCCCUUCAUCAUCAGCAAAGUGCUGGGCAACGACUCCUACUAUCUGAUCGACGAUCAGAAGCCCCGAGCACGCAAGAGGGACGACAGCAGCAAAGAGACGGAACGGCCAUGGAAUGCAAAUCUCCUCCGAAGAUUUUAUAGUUGAUGUAGUAUGUACCCACACUACCCUUUGUAUUAAAGUACCAAGACUUCGGGCCCCCGAGACGAGCUCGGGGACUGCCCUUUUUGUUAUCCGUAUGACAAGAAUUAUGCCUUCGAGUAUGCUACUCUUUGUUAUACCGCUUGGCACCGGGCUCGACUAAUCGGCCCGGGGACUCGUCGCCUUGUGCUAUGAAAUGUUUCCUGCAGUCGGACAAGUAGUGUGUGGUGCCUAAGCCGUCUCCUGUCAGAAGCCGCAGCUUGCAGAGCGACUGUUUGGUGGGCAGGAGUAAGGAAGAAUAGGCGCCCACACGAAAAAUGGCUAAGGACUCAAAGUAUAAACAUAGCCUAAGCCGGCUUUCCAGUCGCUCUUCGCAAAGCCGACUCCUGAGCAGUCGGCUUGCCGCUUUCUAUUUAACCUGUUAAAAAGACUCUAGAGCGGCCAAGUACUUGUCUCCCCAAAGUAGCCAAGCACUUGAUUCGGCGGCAGUCCGCAGAGCGGCUGUCCGACUAUCAAAGACGGCAACAAGGGGAAGGCGGCAAAGGAAAAUGCCAAUAGAGCAACGGCCAAGAAAAUGAUAAAACUUAGAUAAUAUUUACAUAAAAUGGGCCGAUUGGCCGAAUCUUCGAACUGAAGUUCAAAAUACACCCCGCGGGUGGAAUUGUGCAAAUUAACAAGUUCUUCAAAAGAUUACUAAAGCAGAUAAGUAAGGACAAUGCAGCAGCAGCCUAGGAGGCAGCAGACGGGUUUGGAGGGUCGGAGGCGACGGCGGUGUCGGACACCGGGGCAGCCGGCUGGGCGGUCUCGGCUUGAUCGUCUCCAGCGGCGGCCGGCUCGGUCGGGCGCGGCUCGUUGCUGGAGGCGCGGUCGAGCUGAGGCCGAUCCCCCGCUCCGUCUUCUGGCGCCUCUGUCCCGUCUCCGACCUCCGCCUCGUCUCCUUCUUCGGCGCUGGAGCCAAUCACCUCCGCCGAGUCCUCGUCGUAGUCCGGGUUCAUCCCAAACCACUCCGGCGGCGCCUCCUCGCCCUCGUCAGUCCGCUCAGGAAUGAAGACGCUGGUGUCGGUGUACUCGGCGAUCGCCACGGCACGCUUGACAAGGGCGUCCUCCGCGGCUGCCAGAUCCGGCUGGGCCUCUGCCCGGAGCAUGGCCAGCUGGUCCAGAUCCAGGUCCGGAUACCACGCCUUGACGAAUUCCAAGGCUUGUCGCGCUCCAGCCCGAGCCGAGGAGCCCUUCCAAGCCUCAAGACGGCCAGCUGGGACCUCCAGCCAGUCGGCAGUCCGACUGGGAGUGCGCAGAAUCGGCAUGCCUGGCUACAAGGCAGCGAUUACCUGGGCGCCGACACGUUGGAGCCAGCGCAGCAUCCGGUGGGCCGGCCACAGACGAGCCUCGAUGCUCAGAAGCUGCUCAUCGAGGGUUCGGGGGGCGUUGGCGGCAAUCUCCUCGCCAGUCGCCCGCCGCACCUCGCGGUCCGCCUCAAUGGCCUGUACGGCUGCCUGCGUGUGGCCAGGGAAGAAGUCUGCCAAAGACGGAAAAGAAGCAAGUCAGAAAAUCAGCAGUCAGCUCGACCCACAGUCGGCGGCUCAAAGAAGAGAUUAAAGAAAACUCACCGUCAACGAUAUCCUCAAUCUCAUGGAAGCCGGAGGUCAGCAUCGCCUCCUUGUCGGUCCAGGAGGAGCGCUCAGACUCGAACUCGGCCAGAAGCGCGGCCUCCUUCUUCUCCGCCUCGUCCUGCGCCUUCUUGAGCAGCCCCUUCUGCUCCGCCAGUUGCGUGGCCAGCAGGUCGCGUUCUGCGGCGAGCUUGUUGCGCUCCGUCUCCUUGGCCCGCAAGGCGGUAUUGGCCUCGCCCAGCUGCUGCUGAAGAACGACAUUGGCCUCUGAAGAAAAAAGAAGAAGGCGUUAAGUCGCCACCAAAGAAGGUCGCCGGGAAGAUCCGGCCCGACUGCUCAGCAGUCGGCCCGAAUCUCGGGGACUACAGCCCGCGGGUGCGCCAGCGCGCCCCCGCGAAGAAGGAGAACUCACUCCAGCUCAACGACAAGUCGGCAGUUUUCUUGCCCAGCUCUUCAACAUUGCGGUUGAAGGCGGUGACCCGGAGGUUGUGGUAAUCCUGUGAUAAAUAUUUCAAACAAGAGAAAAGUGCUUAGAGACUCGCCAAUAGAGUUUCGACCCGCCUGCUCAGCAGCCGGCCCGGAACUCGAGGACUACACCCAGUGGGUGCGCUGGCGCGCCCCCAUAGAGAAGAAAAACAAAGUCAGAAAAAAACAUACCCAGACGGCCGCUCGGGACGCCAGAUGCGCCUUGGUGCAGUUCUGGAUGGCGUCGCCCUCGGCCCGCAGCUUCGCCUGGACGUCCAGAAGCGCCUGGUUCAGUGGGCCUGUGCCGCCUCCUCGCACCCAUCCAACGGGCACGGCGCUCGUUGCCUCAGCGUCUGGAACGGCUGAGCUUGCGGCUCCGGUCUCCAAGGGGCGCGGCGCCGAGAUCGCCUUCUCAAGACGGCGGCGCGUUGGCGAGGCGACUUGGAGGAGCAGCUGCGCCACAGCCUCGUCCUUAGUCGGCGGCACCGGCGGGUCCGCCGGCUGUCCGCUUUGCACGCUCCCAGAUGGUGGCGGCGGCGGCGCUGCCGUGUCCGACCUAGAGGCCUCGCCGCCUUCCCGCUCCUUGAUGGGGUGCUCGCCGCCGGCUUCCCCGGUCCGCUCCACGAGAACCAGAGGCCGCGCCGAGUUCAGCGGGACGACGAACAGCGCCGAUUGGCGGCGCGCGGCCUCUUCGGCUUGCCGCUUCGCCACGACGGCGGCUUCGGCCUCAUCCAGCUUCUUCUGGGCGGAGGCGGCCGCCUUCUCGGACUCCGCCUUCUCUAGGCGGGCGGCUUCUUCCUCGUCGCGCUUCUCUUGCGCGUUCCGCUUCGUCGCGUCCCGGAGGUCGGCGGCGGGGUCAACCCGCCGAGUGGAGGCGGACGUCUCAACCGACCCCAUAAUGGAGGUGGUGGUAACCCUCCCAAGGGUGAGGGGAGCUCUGGAACAGAAACAGCAUGUAAAAGAUUUGGACAAAGUCCACCAAAAAGAACAAGACAAAGAUGAAAGCACUUACGCCGAGACCAGCGGCGGCUUCUUCACCUCCUUGCGGAAGUGAUUGGCCUUCGCGACCGCCUCUUCCCGCCUGGUCGCGGCGGCGGCCCCCUUGAACUUCUUCUCCCGGCCGACGAGAGAACUCGGCCCGGCCCGGCGCUUCCUCGCGCCGCCGAGACCACCCAAGACGGCGGACGAGCCCGCACCAUGGUGGCCGGCUCUCGGUUGGGGGCGUGGGGCGACUUCCCCCUCAUAGUCGUCCCUAGGCCAGUCAGCAAAGGUGGCUGUGGGCCUGGGGCCGCCUUCAGCUCCUCCUCCUCCUUCGGCGUCGGCCUCCAUCGCCGCCGCCCCCAAGUCGGGGUCGUCGACAUCGCUCUCCGCCCGAUCGGGGACGAAUUGGCGGGCCGUCCCUGCGGUGCCGGCCGAAGGCUGGACGAGAGGAUUCUGGUUUAAGAACUAAAAAAGAUUAGAAGUCGGAUUCGGCUAAGGAAAGAAUGGAAUAAGAAGAGAAACGACUUACCACACGCGGGGGGUUGACGCGCGAGUACGGCUCCAUGCCGAACUGCCAAUUCCCCGAGAGGCCACAGUUCGCGAUGUAAUUCACCGUGUCCGCCACCUUCGCGUGGGGCAUGUCCUUGGAGCACAUCCGACUGGGGUCCCGGUGGCCACUCAUCUGGCAUAUCAUAUGAGGCCGGCCUUGGAGCGGAAGGACUCGGCGCGCCACGAAGGCGGCCAGCAAGUCGGCCCCGACCAGACCCUCCGAUUGCGUUAGCACUCGGAGUCGCGCGACAGCGGCGGCGCCGGCAGGAGUCAGCGUCUUGGCCCGGUGGGACCAGCUGGGGAGCCUUCCAGCCGGCGCGCCGGCUUCGUAAGGCGGCAGGUUGACCCAGUCGCCUUCCGGGGCGACGUUCUUCACAUAGAAAUAGGAGCGCUGCCACAACUUCACCGACUUGAUCAGUGCGAUGGGGGGAAAUGGGUUGUCGGCCAUCGACCUCCGCAUCGCGAUGAAGGCGCCGCAUUGGGCUGGCACGCCGGCGACGUGUGUGCCGAGCUUGGAGCUGAAGAACUCUCCCCACAACUCGAUGGUGAGGAAGACGCCGAGGAAGCCUUCGCACAGGGUGGCGAAGGCAGCCAGCAGCACCACCGUGUUCAGCGUGAGGUGGUGCGGCUGGAGCCCGUGGAACUCCAAGAAGGAGCGGAAGAAGCCGCUCGCCGGCAGCCCGAGGCCGCGCAAGAGGUGCGAGCGGAAUAUGACCCGCUCGCCCUCCUCCGGCGCCGGCGACACCUCCCCCGCCGGCGCGGCGCGGGCUUGCACGAGGUUUGCGCCGGGGAGACGACGGGUCUUGCGAAGGAAGUUGAUGUGGUUGUCGUCGACCUCAGAGCCGUCCCACACGCCGGAGCGCACGGCGGCGGAAGAAGAACUCAUCGCCGCGGGCGUGAUGAGGCUCAACGCGACGGCAGCGAAGGAAGAAAAAGGGAAGAAGAACAGAGGAAGCAGAGGGAGUGCGCGCGCGUGCUUCGCCGCCCGCUCCCUCCGCCUACUUAUAGGCUCCUAGGCUGAGGAGCCGAGGGGGCGUCGUGGGAUUAACUGUGCCCAGGACCCCACGACCCCCACGAUUAUUGCACGAUGUUACUGCGCACAAUUACUGCGCAGGAAUCCCAACCGUCCGCUCGGCCGCAACGGAUCCUUGCGAAGGCCGAGGCGCGGUAGUGGCGGGCCCCACCUGCGGGCCUGUCCCGUCGCGCGCGUGGGUGGGCAGACUGGCCCGGCCAGGUGGCGCCACAUGACGGGUCCACAACGGGCGGCAACCUGGAAGCUUAUCAGGCACGCCAUCCGGAUCCCGUUGCGACUUUCAAACUCUUCAAACGACAAGACGGCCUCCAGCGAGUCCGACUCCCGAUAGUCGGCUCGAAGAAAGACGGCCGGCGGAGCAUAGAUUCAUUUUCCGAAAGGAAGAAACUGUUGAGGCUCCUCGACGAGUCUCCCUUGGCGCCUCACCAGCUUCGGGGACUACUGUGGGAGUAAUGGACCACGGGUAGGCUCACCCGACGCCCAGAACCUUUCAAGACAUCGGGGCCGGCUUCGCCCCUCGAGAACCCAAAGACGGAGACGCUGCCUCUGGGAGUCGGCAGCAGUGCUGCCGACAACCCACUCCAAGCCGAGUCCCAGGGGCGACGUUCAUAUGGGCUGACUCCAAGCUAGCGACUUCCAGAGAAGCCGGCUUUGGGAGUCGGCCCGCGACUCCAACCAUCUCAUGCUUCCACAAGAAGGAAUGGGACGGGGUGUGGCACCUGUAAGGUCCACGCCCGCCCCUAACCAAGGGAAGGCAUGGCUACAGUAUGCCGUACCCACGGAGAUCUCCGUUCGGUGCGGCACUGUUGCCAUGCCAGCCCUGACAUCAGCCCCAGGGGGCGAAACCCUGUGCCCACGUCGGCCUGCCUAUAUGACCUGAAGACGGCAGGCCCCACCCGUCAGCGGGGGCACCAAAGACAGCGAGAGCGCCAGAAGACGGGCUCCGUGGGAGUCGGCCUCCCAGAGUCGGCCGGCCCCUCCCACGGGCCCCACACGCCAUUAACUAGAUGAGACGGGGAGUGGCGACAGUGAUCGCCCGCCGGGCGGCGGCACUGUUGCCAUGACCCCAUGACCAAGCCAGCGUCAUUAGAAGCAUGGAUAUAGUAAUCCGCAGCCGGCAAGACCCGCCCGCGGCAGACACAGCCUGUCGGCUCCGUACCGGACCAGUCAGCGGGCCCCAGAAGUCGGCGGAGAAGACGGCGGCCUGAGAGGCAGACGGCUGGGACCCGCGCCCAGUCAGAUUACCAUUGUACCCCCGAGGGUAGUCCUAUAUAAACCCCCCGGGGCAGCCAUGCAAAGGGUUGGACCCCAUUAGCACUAGACCACAGAACACAGGCAGGAGAGAACUAGCCUUGCUCUCUCCUCCCUCAGGACACAGCUCAAGGAGCAACCUUGUCUCUACUUUGCCAUAGUGAUCAUGCGGAGACCCCGCAGAGCAGCAGUAGGGGUGUUAUCUCCUCGAAGAGCCCUGAAGCUGGGUAAGAUUCGCCGGCGUGCAUGCCUACGCCUCAUCCCGUUUCCAGGCACCGGCGACGUUCUACUCGCCCCCACCAUGAUAAGCCAUCCUUUGGCAUAUGUCGCACCCAACCCCCGACAAUUUUCCAAAAAUUUCACAAAAAUCUGAAAAGGUUCAUCAAUUUUUAAAAACUUCCAGAAAAUCUGAAAAAAGUUCAUUGAUUUUAAACAAAAACUUCAUCUAUUCUCAAAAAGAGCUUAUCAAUUUUCAAAAAAGUUCAUCAAUUCUCAAAAAAAGUUUAUCAAUUUCAAAAAAGUUCAUCGAUUUUUAAAAAGCUUACAUAAAUCAAUUUUGAAAAUUAGUUCAUAAAUUUGAAAAAAGUUCAUCAAUUUUAGAAAAUAGUUCAUCGAAUUUGAAAAAAACUUCAUCAAAUAUGAAAAAGUUCAUCGAUUUUGGAAAAGAGUUCAUCGAUUUUGGAGAAAAGUUCAUCGAAUUCGAAAAAAGUUUAUCGAUUUUGGAAAAGAGUUCAUCGAAUUCAAAAAAAGUUCAUCGAAUUUUUAAAAACGUACAUCGAAUUUGAAAAAAGUUUGUCAAUUUUGGAAAAAAAGUUCAUCCAAUUCAAAAAAAUGUUCAUCGAAUUUGGAACAAAGUUCUUCGAUUUCGAAAAAAGUUCAUCAAUUUUGGAAAAGUUCAUUAAUUUGAAAAAUAGUUUAUUGAAAUGAACAAAAAAAACACCGAACAAAACUCUUUCAAAUAAACAAGAAAAACGAAAAAAUAGACAUGAGAAGAAAAUAGUGAAGAAGAUAUUUUUGAACACAUGAGGUAAGAGUGGUGCGGUGGUUAGUAUGGUGUGAACGAAGAGGAGGUCGCGGGUUCGAUUUCCACCGGUUGCCUGUAGCGGACGCAACGGGCGCCGUUUAGGGAAUGCUGGAACUCGCGUGGGUGUGCGUGGGCGACCUGGGCUGUGUGCAAGUGCGAAGAUGGAGAGGCUGGCCUGGACCCUGGCUGUGUGUUGGGCUAAGCCCCGGGCCCAUUUAAAAGUAUAGCUAGGUAAUAACUAAAAAAAUAGCAACGCCCCGGGCCUGGGGCCCAAAUCCGCCCUUGCAAGUCGUACCGGUAGUAUAUAUAACAUCCUUUAGGGCAGCAAAUACGGUAAUAUAGUGUACAUAAGGGCAUGUACAAUGGUUGAUAAGAUAGUCUUAUCUUAAGUCUUGCAUGUAGUUUAGAGAUGAUAAAAAAAAUAUCUACAUAGUCUUAUCUUCAAUAACUAGUUAUUCCUAAAAACAUGAUGAGACGUAUUAUGCUAAAAGAUCAUUUUUGAGUUCUCUUUUGUCCACCUCAUCUUUUGUCCUAUGUGGCACUAUUAAGAUAACACCAUUAUACAUGCCCUAAUGUACGCCGCCAGUGGAGCAAAAUAGUUGGCCACUUUUGCGAGGACAAAGGCGACGCGGUGCGGUGCCUGGCCCCUUUUGCGGUCUCUUCUCCUUGCCCCGGUCCGCACGCACGGGAGACGGGACGCCGCAACGAGACGCGCAGAGGCAGCAGCAGGCCCGACAGCACGAAAUUGGCACCACAAGCAAGAGCAACACAGGUGGCUUGCUUCACUCGCCCGCCUGCCUGCCUGCCCGCCCCUCCCCGGUGACUGGUGAGUGAGCUGUUCUUUCUUUGUCCCUGCCCGUCCGUCCAUACUCCACACUACGCUACGUCCGGAACAGCGCACGAGCGUCGCCAUCCAUCCGCUUUUGUGCUGUGCCUUCGGCACUCUGCCUUUCUCCUUCCGGACGACGUGUGAGAUUCUCACUUGUAAUCCGAUGCAGAGCCCCGGCUGAUUGGCUAUCAACUGCCCCGGCACCAGUCACAUGCCAGCCAGGACCUUGUUUGUUUGUCCUAGUGUGCUUUUCAUUAUGAAAUUACUCAAGAGCGGCGCAUGAUUUUCAAUAGGGAAGUGCACCGGAAUUGCUCAAGAGCGCAUGAUUUUCAACCAAGCCUCUUGCCAGGUGCGGGGCACACACCGGUCGAGCGCACUCUCAGAGGCCGCCGUCGCCUCUUUCACCGAUCCAUCUUCAGAGUAUGAACUGACACAUCGACCUUGCCAGACCUACUGUCGACACCACCACGGCGCGAGACAACGUCACCUCCCUUCGCAUGUCCAUCAUCAUACAUCCGUCCCCGAGACUUCACAUCGUCCAUGUGUGACAUGAAAUACCGCUCCAAUGCUAGAAGCCUAGAACCGUCCAUUGGUCCCUCGAGUCAAUGCACACCUCCAAGAAUGACGUCCCAGGAAGGGAACGACACAAGAGCGCCGCAAUCAUCCGAUCAACCGACCAAGGGUUUCCCCUGAAGGUAGCGGGAGGAGUUGGGAGCUUCACCUCGAUGAUGCCUUCAUGAAGGAAACGACGCCAAGGGCGUCAGCAUCACCAGCUCUGGUCACCGGCCCAAGACCAAGUUUCACCCGGAUUCGUCCCAAGAACAUCCAACCGACAACCUACGCAUCUGCAAGACCCCCUUUAAAGCCAUGGAUCUGGCCACCCAGAUCCGGCGAUCAUCAACAACUGCACUACCACUGCGGUGUAUCCUGACGCUAUGACCACUGCCGAACGGCGCCGCCACUGGAGCAUGGUGGGAGUGCUGCCCCCCACCGCCCCAUGCGGGAAGAGCCAUUAGGAUGAAUCCCAAGCACGUUCUUCAUCGUCUCUGUACCGAACGGGAUCCGAGGUCGAAUCCGUUGGAAUGCCAGAGUAGCUCCGCCUUGGACGUGGGUACGUCCACGCUAUGCAGGCGAGGACGAUCUGGGCCUCACCGGACGCCACCGCCCCUGCAUCCGCUGCCUUGCAGCGAGGCGAUCACGCCGGCCAGGCCAUGGCCGGAGUCCACCUCCACAUGCACCCGGCCCGAUCUUCCAGCCAGGUCCUCCACGACGUUCGAUUCGCGCCGCCGCCACCGGACCGCCACCCGACGACCACGCCACCACACAAGGCCUCCGGCCGGAACCAGCCACCGCGCCGCCAAGAUCUAGAUCGCGGCGACGCUACCUCACGGAAGAGUUCCCGUCCCAACCCCUCCAUCGCGAGACUAGGAGGAGACCACCAUCGGCCACCGGACUUAGUCCCGUGGCGUCCUCCGACGACGACGGAGGAAGGGGAGGGCGGAGAUGAAGGUCGGCGGCUAGGGUUUGGAGGGCCACCCGAGUCGCCUGAGACGGGGCGACGUGGGGGUUGCAUAGUUAAUAUUUUCUUGAAUGAAUUAAAUUUCUUGCCUCAUUGAUUAGUUGAACAGAAGAUGAUUACUUAGUUAAUUAAUGAGACCGGACGAAAACAGAGUUGAUGCGUACUACUUUCUCCGUCUUAUAAUAUAAUUAAGAGUGUUUUUGACACCAGUGCAAGUUAACCUCCAACGAACCGUGGAAGGACCUUUCCCGUAGCACCCAACCCAACCCAAGGUUAGGGCAUCUCCAGCCGUUGGAGCCCCCCAGGACAAUCGCCGGACCGAAAAUAGCACGUCCUAGGGGGCAAAACGCUUCCGCCGGCGCCUCCAUGAACCCGUGUUCCCAGUCGUUGGCGUCCUCGGAAGAAUCGCUGGGCACAAAGUGAUUGCGUGGGCCAGGAGAAAGAAUGCGUGGAGGAGUAGGAUUGGCCGUUGCCUCCGCCGGCGCCCACAGGAGCCCCCCAGCGCGCUGGGUUUGCCGACACUAGUAUGAGGUCUUGGGGGCGCUUGGGGGGCAUGGCUGGGCUGUUUUUUGCCCCUUUUACGGUGUGGCGCAGAGAAAGUGGCUGCGGGGGUGGCACUUGGGGGGCGGCUGGAGAUGCUCUUACAAUAACAACCAUGGCGCCGGAGAGAGAAGGACCUUUCCCGUAGCGCCAAGCCCCAACGCAGCAAAAAAACAUGGCGCGCGGUCCUGGGCGGCUGGAAGCCCGCUCGCUUUUCCCACACGACAAGCUGUCCAGCCAGCGACCCGACCACCAAUCGCGGUCGGUCAGUCACAGGCGUCCCAGGUGGGGUACGUACGUACGUGAAGCAGCUAUCCCGGCCGCGCGACCCCCACAAAAAUUUCAGUCAUUUCCCCCUCUAUUUUCGUGUCGAACCACUAAGGCCAACUCCACCGCGCGACUCCAUCCUGUCCGCGCGCGUCCGUUUGGGGUAAAACGAACGAACCAGACGGCCCAGCGCGCGGGCGCAAUCGGAUUUUUGUCCGUUUUGUGUCCGCUUUUGACCCAUCCCUGGCCCAAGUUUGCGCGGCUUUGGGGUGAAACGGACAUCACGCGGACGCGCAGGCCGUCUGCGCGUGUCCUCCCCUGGUGUAACGCCCCGGUUUCGAUGCGCCAGGUGUCUGCCAGUUAUUCGCCGUCAUUGCCAUGUCUUUUGCUUGCGUGUUGCACUUUGCCAUUUCAUCAUAUGCAUUUCAUAGCAUGUCGUCAUGUGCAUUUCAUUUUGCAUACGUGUUCGUCUCAUGCAUCCGAGCAUUUUCCCCGUUGUCCGUUUUGCAAUCCGGCGCUCCUAUGUCAUCCGGCGUUCCCUUUUUGCCUCUUCUCUUGUGCGGGUGUUAAACUUUCUCGGAAUGGCCCGAGGUUUGCCAAGCGGCCUUGGUAUAGCACCGGUAGACCGCCUGUCAAGUUUCAUGCCAUUUGGAGGUUGUUUGAUACUCCAACGGUUAACCGGGUAACCGUAAAGCCUCUUUUGUUGGCAGCCCAACACCCCUUUCAAAGUGACCCAAAACCCACCAAAUUCCCCUCUAUGCUCUCGGUCGUUCGAUCACGAUCGCGUGGCCGAAAACCGCUCCUCAUUUGGACUCUCCUAGCUCCCUUCACCUAUAAAAACGUCCCUCCCCUUCCAUUUUCGCGGAUGAAACCCUAGCCUAGCCUCCCUCUCGCCCGCCGGACGCGUCCNNNNNNNNNNNNNNNNNNNNNNNNNNNNNNNNNNNNNNNNNNNNNNNNNNNNNNNNNNNNNNNNNNNNNNNNNNNNNNNNNNNNNNNNNNNNNNNNNNNNNNNNNNNNNNNNNNNNNNNNNNNNNNNNNNNNNNNNNNNNNNNNNNNNNNNNNNNNNNNNNNNNNNNNNNNNNNNNNNNNNNNNNNNNNNNNNNNNNNNNNNNNNNNNNNNNNNNNNNNNNNNNNNNNNNNNNNNNNNNNNNNNNNNNNNNNNNNNNNNNNNNNNNNNNNNNNNNNNNNNNNNNNNNNNNNNNNNNNNNNNNNNNNNNNNNNNNNNNNNNNNNNNNNNNNNNNNNNNNNNNNNNNNNNNNGGUCCCCCAUGGCCGGAUCGGCCCGUUCCACGCUCGUCGGACCUGCCCCGGCCUCCUCCUCGGUACCUCGCCGCCGGCAGCCGCCGUCGUCGCGCUCGGAGACGAGCACAGACGCGCGCGUGCCUGCCUCGCCCCUGUCGCGCGCCCGUAUGGGCCCCCGUCCGGCCCAGCGAGCCGGCCUGCCUCCAGUCUCCCCGUGACCUGGGCCGAGCCCAAUGGUGAGCGACCCGCUAAGCCCCGCCCCGCGCGCAUCUUAGUUAUAUUGCGCCCGCAUGUUUUUUUCCUGAAAAAUGCCUAAGUCCCGAAAUAUUUGACAUAAUCAUGCCAUGUUCAUCGCAUUGUAUCUCUGCAACCGUAGCUCCGUUUCGUGCGUGUAAUAUGUCAAAUUGUUCGUCUCAACGAGUACGUCAUUUCAUUCCAUUGCAUCAUUUUCAUUUGAGCUCAUCUUGAUGCCCGAAAUGCUGUUGGAAGAGUGCAUGUUGUUGUUAAUCUGCUGAAACUGUUAUAACUUGCUCAUUUGUCAUUUUUGCCAUGAUUGAUGUGGGCAUCCUAUGAGGUUGAUGUCUACAUGUAUAUUGAUCUAUGUCAUGCCAUCUUUCCAGGAGAGCCAACCAUGUAUUUUUGUGAGUUGUGUGCUGAGUGUAUCAAACUUGCUAAGUAGGGUAGUUGCUGUUGCUGUUCUGCUAGUCAGAUUCUGUUAUAUUUUGUUGCUAUGUUAACAUGUUGCUACUAAUCAUUUUAUGCAUAAUCUGGAGAUACUCUAUAAACAUGUUUUGAUCUACAUGUGAUGAUCUAUCCAUUCAUGCCCUUGGUUGCAAUUAUAGCCUGCUGGAACAUGUUGUUAUCUUGAUCUAAAGUUGCUUCAUAAUGUUGCUAUCAGCCUGUUAACAUUAAGUUCACUAGUUUCCAUGUGUUUUGCUAGUGUUCCAUGCAUCCUAUGACCUUGCUCUUGCCAUGCUUAGCUUGAUAAACAUGCCUUCUUACUGUUGGUUGUCUUGCCAUGCCAUGUAUUGCUCUGUGGUGAGUGGUUCAAGCUCACCAACAUGCCUACUUAUUGUUGUUCCUGCCAUGUAUGAAUCUGUAAUAUAACUUGCCAUGUUUACAUGGGUGCCAUCAUAUUUUCUAUGCCUUUUUGGCUUAUGGUCAGUAAGGGACUUUUGAUCUAUGCUUUUAGUAGAUUCAUGCCAUGUCUUUGUUUGCAAUGAUAAGUUCCUGUAACAUAUUGUUUGAUAGCUCUAAACAUUGCAACCUGAUGUUAUUUCUGUUAACGUCUGAAACUGUUAAUGUUUGCAAUAUCUCCAUGUCUUUUUGAGCAUGAUCCAUUGAUUUCUCGAGAUAGCUCAGUGUUCAUGUUUUGUUAUGCUUUACCUGCACUUCAUGCCCAUGCCUUUUGUUAUUAUGUUGGGGUGCUGUAGCAUGUUGUUUUGAUGCUUGUAAGAUGCCUAGUUGCUGUUAUGGGCAGAUUGUUGUUAUGACUUGUAUAGAGUGUAUGUGUUGAACCGUUGCUCCGUUUGAGUGUGCUCUAUAUGAAACUUGCUUGAUUUUGCAUGUAGCUUCAUAUUAUCAUGUUGCAUCCUUGUUUUGAGGUGUUUGUUUGAUGUUUGGGUGCAUUUUGCAUCAAUGCCAUGUUUAUCUUGUUUUGCUCAUAUCUUCUAGGCCGUAGCUCCGAAUCUAAUGAACUUUAUAUGUAACUUGACUAGAAUUUCAUGUAGCAUCUUGGUGCUCUUUAACUUGCUGUUCAACAACUUCAACAUAAGGUUUAUUCAGUUCUGGACCAAUUUCGAAAUAUGCAUAUGAGGACUUACCGGAAUUGAUAUAUGUUGUUCUCGACCUCAUUUAAACUUGCCUUGAUGUGUUGUUCUUGUUUGCAUCAUCUCUUGCCAUGAGUAGCUUCAUGUAGCUUUAUCAUGCAUCAUGCUUGUUAUGCAUCAUGUCUUGUUCAUGUGUGGUGUGUUUACUAUGUUGUGUGCUUCUUCUUGUUAGUUCCCGUUUCGUUGCGAUCGUGAGGAUUCGUUCGUCUACGUGUGGUUCGUCUUCGUGGCUUCAUCUUCUUCAUGGACUCGUUCUUCUUCCUUGCGGGAUUUCAGGAAAGAUGACCGCUACCCUGGAUCUCACUACUAUCAUUGCUAUGCUAGUUGCUUCGUUCUAUCGCUAUGCUGCGCUACCUAUUACCUGUUUAUCAAGCCUCCCAAAUUGCCAUGAACCUCUAACCUUUGACACCCUUCCUAGCAAACCGUUGUUUGGCUAUGUUACCGCUUUGCUCAGCCCCUCUUAUAGCGUUGCUAGUUGCAGGUGAAGUUGAAGAUUUCUCCAUGGUGGACAGGAUUUUGGUUGGGAUAUCACAAUAUCUCUUAUAUUAUUAAUGCAUCUAUAUACUUGGUAAAGGGUGGAAGGCUCGGCCUUAUGCCUGGUGUUUUGUUCCACUCUUGCCGCCCUAGUUUCCGUCAUACCGGUGUUAUGUUCCCGGAUUUUGCGUUCCUAACGCAGUCGGGUGAUUUAUGGGACCCCCCCUAACAGUUCGCUUUGAAUAAAACUCCUCCAGUAAGGCCCAACAUUGGUUUUAUCAUUUGCCUCACCACCACCUAUAUUUCCCUUGGGAGUAAUUAACCCAAGGGUCAUCUUUAUUCAGCCCCCCCGGGCCAAUGCUUGUCUAAGUGUUGGUCCAAACUAGAGCGCUUUGCAGCGCCCCCUCAGGAAAACUUGAGGUCUGGUUUUAGUUGUACGGACUGCUCAUCCGGUCGUGGCCUGAGACGAGAUACGUGCGGCUACUAUCAGGAUGUCGGCACGCCGGGAGGCUUUGCUGGUCUUGUUUUACCAUUGUCGAAAUGUCUUGUAAACCGGGCUUCCGAGAUUGAUCGGGUCUUCCUGGGAGAAGGUCUAUUCCUUCGUUGAUCGCGAGAGCUUGUCAUGGGCUAAGUUGGGACACCCCUGCAGGGUUUAAACUUUCGAGAGCCGUGCCCGCGGUUAUGUGGCAGAUAGGAAUUUGUUAAUGUCCGGUUGUAGAUAACUUGACACCAGAUCCGAAUUAAAAUGCAUCAACCGCGUGUGUAGCCGUGAUGGUCUCUUCUCGGCGAAGUCCUGGAAGUGAACACGGUUUCUGUGUUAUGUUUGACGUAAGUAGGUGUUCAGGAUCACCUCUUGAUCAUUGCUAGUUGACGACCGUUCCGCUUGUUCUCUUCUCGCUCUCAUUUGCGUAUGUUAGCCACCAUAUCAUGCUUAGCCGCUGCUGCAACCUCACCACUUUACCCCUUCCUUUCCCAUUUGGCUUUGCUAGUCUUGAUACCCAUGGUAAUGGGAUUGCUGAGUCCUCGUGGCUCACAGAUUACUACAACAACAGUUGCAGGUACAGGUUUGCGAUGAUCAUGACGUGAGAGCGAUGUUUGCUUGUUUUGGAGUUCUUCUUCUGCUUCUUCUUCGAUCAGGGGAUAGGUUCCAAGUCGGCGGCCUGGGCUAGCAGGGUGGAUGUCGUUUGAGUUUCUGGUUGUGUUUCAUCCGUAGUCGAAUGGUGCUCUGAUGUAUUGUGAUGUUGUAUUCUUGUGGCAUGUAUGCCUCUUGUAUGUAUCCCUAUCUAUUAUGUAAUAUUGAUGUAAUGAUAUCCACCAUGCAAAAGCGUUUCAAUAUGCGGGUCUAUCCUUAGUGGGACCUUCGAGUUCCUUUUGGAUAGGGUCGCAUAUUGGGCGUGACACCUGGCCAGCCCGUCGAUGGCACAGGGGCGCCUUUUUCUAUCCGCCCCCUCCCUCCCUACGGCCGCACGCCCUCCAUUCUUCUUCACUCUUCCCCAUUCUUCCCUCGCCGCCGCCGCCGUUGCUGCCAUUGUAGCUAUGCAGCUCAGACGGAUGCUCGCGCAACCCCUUCCUCUCGGCGCCCCCGAUCUACCCAACCGCGGCCACCUGUUUUGCGCACCCGCCGGCCGUAUUUGGGGCGGAUCCGGUCGGUCUUGAACUCGCCCGGUUGUGGGAGGCCGCGCCACACCAUGGACUAGUCGGGCACCGGGCCGGAAGGCCAUGGCAGGGCCGCAAGGCCACAUGCAGGCAGUGGCUCCUCCUCUAGCCGCUCAGAUCUACACCGUCGGUGGUCCGCCGACAGAUACAUGAAUGGCGGUCGGCCGGGCUCGGUGCUAGCUCAAAAGUUCGUCAGUGCACCGUUGCCGCUCAUUAAGUGCGACCACUGCCUAAAGAAGGUCGUGCGCCGCGUGUGUACAACGCCGGAACAUUCCGGAUGGGUGUUCAUCAAGUGUUUAAACGAUGUGGUAUGUGCUUUUUUUAGCUUCGGUUUGUGCUCUAAAUUUGACUAGUUGUGCUAACUUCAAAUUUUGAUGUGUAGAAUGGAUGCAAGUUUUGGUAUUGGGAAGAAGAGUACAUCGAUAUAUUGAUAAAGCGCAAUUUAGUAGAUAUUGGUGCACUUUUAGCUAGCAUAGAGGCUGUAGAUGAGACAAGUGCACUUGUUGGCAGAUUAGAGGCUAGACACGAGACUAGAUGCGAGGAAGCAACCUCUACUUCUUUAGACUCGAAGAAGAAAGAAACACGCAAGAUGGAGGCGGCUCCUCCGCAGAUCAACAAUGAAUGCAUCGAGAAGGCACUAAUCCAACUUACAGAAGCAGUUAUGGAAGUUGGAUAUCUUGUAAAAUGUAUUCUUAUGGUUCUUGUUUUCUUUGGUCUUGCUUUUCUAGUCAAAAUUUGGUGAUGUAUUCCCAUGUAUCAAGAAUGAAUGAUGAAAAAAAAAUUUAAGGGCUUGUAUAGAAAAAGUACGCGGCCGGGAUGCAUCCACGCCUUGGGCGCACGGCCACCGCAUCCCAGGACACGACCCCGUCUUCCUACCCAAACGGACAAAACCGGAUCAAAACGGACGUCCGUUUGGGGUCGCGCGGUGGAGUUGGCCUAACGGCGGUUGACGGAGCCGGGCGAGGACGCCUUAGGCCACCCUGGAGCUGGGGACUGCGAGGCGCUGAGGCGGACGUGAGCUUGGAAUCGCAAGGUGGUGUGGACAGCGAGAAGAAACAAUAUGCCUUUUGCAACUGCCAGCACCAUCCACCACCAGAAAAUAUAUGCACAGGUUUUCGAACGUUUAAUUCGGCGUGCGAAUCCGAUGGGACAGGGCCAUGCCCAUGCAGUCGCGUCGCCAUCACUAUAACUUGGAACGCAUUAUUAGAAUAAGCAUAAGCAUUUUAUAUCAGACUCGAGUCACGUCGUUUGAUCAUUCAUCCGGCAUCUCUCUCGGCCUCUUGUUCUUAUCUUAGUUGUAGUAGGCACUAAUCUAGCGGCGCAUCGCUGUCCGGACUCCUGUCGCAGGUCAGCAGUAACAUGGGGGAUUUGAUUGACGACCAACUUUAUUUAUUUUUUCUAACUAAUGCCGGAUUAGCUGGCGACCAGCUGAAAAGACUGGGAUGCUCACUGCUGAGUCAGCGGCCGCAACGGCUUCAGGCAUACUCCAGUUUUAUUAUGCUGGAGCAAUUCCAGGUUCCAACCUGGCGCCACAAAUUAGACAGGGUGUAGCGUCUAUCCGCUCCGCGAUCGCCGCGGGCAGGUGAGACGGCUGAGCCAGGCCCAAGAAUAAUGGGGGUAGGCGGGAAACUCAAAACGGUGACCGGGCUCAUCUACUCCCUCUCAGCAAAAAAUUCAAAAAAAAAAAUACUAGAAAAAAUUAAAAAAUUCCAAUUUUUUUUGUGGUGGUAGAUAAUUUAACGCGUGAGGUGCGCCCCAAAAUUCAACUUAUUUGGACAUCCAAGUAGCUCUCGGCAAAAAAGACAAAUCGGGUCAAAACAGUGCGUGAAACAGUAAACAUUUUUACAGACCCUGAUUUUGUGUUUUUUUGCCGAGAGCUGCUCAGAUACUCAAAUGAGUUGAAUUUUGGGGCGCACCUCACGCGUCAAAUUAUCUACCACCACAAAAAAAAAUUGGAAUUUUUUGAAUUUUUCUAGUAUUUUUUUUGAAUUUUUUUCUAAGCGUGGGUGCAGCUGAGCCCGGGUGCAGAUUAGCCGCACCUCCUUUCCUCAAAGGCUGGCUCAGAAAUGAUAGUCCCAGGAAGAAAAAGGAUUGGAUAACAACGACCAGUGGAGCAGUUGAGGAUACUGACAGGGAUCAAUUUAAUCAUGGAGCAGAUCAAUGUUGAGUACAAGCCAACAACCCUAACAAUCUUCUACUUAGGUUCAAAGCUAACAAUAAUAGCAGCAGCACCGAGCGGUUAGUCGCAGCAGACUUCCAGGGAAUUCUCGAGUAAAGACCACAUCAUCAUACAUGAUCGACGGACAGCUAACAUGGCAUGGCAGCACAAGGCCAAAUCCACCAACAUUUAAAAGGCAGGGAGGGAGGAGGAGGGGUGAAGAGGCUAAAGGAAUGAAUGAACAGAAUGAUCAUUUUGAGCGAGCGGAGCUUCUGGCUUUCCCUUUCCAACAAACAGGGUUUAUCUUCCGUCGGCGGAGGUGAAGGAAUCAGCAAACCCUGGAGGCCGCGUCGGGAUGCUGGUCUGGGUGUUAUCCAAGCUCGCCAGGAACGAAGAGGUCGCACCGUCAAAAUGGCUGCUGUCCUCAAAGGCCUGCCAUUUCUUCAACGCCUGAGGCAGCGUCAUGUCCAGGUCGAUGCCGUAACUGUCGUCUGAAUCUGGGUCUGCGGGUUUCCACACUUCCGAAAGAGUAGAGAGCACGUUCACGGCAUGACCCAUGUCGGGCCUCUGAUGUGGUUCCCUAGCACAGCAGUGACCCGCGAGCUGUGCGACCGUGCUAACGCUGGCUAAGGUCUCCUCAUCAAGCUCCAUGCUUGUGUCGAUCGCCUUCUGGAACGUAUCAUUGUUGAGCUGCAUUCUCCGGAACCAUGUAACCAGGUGCAUGCUAUCCUCAGGCUGUGUGUCAUCAAGCGCCCUGCGUCCCGUCACCAGCUCCAUCAAAAUGACACCAAAGCUGAAGACAUCAGCUUUUGUGGUCACACGUCCAGUA
rnacentral:lncRNA from 1 species